UGUUCUUAUUCGCUGACAUUUGUUUUCCAAUUGCGUGAAAUUUGGUCAUUUCCUUAGUGUUUCGCUGACCGACCUGUGCUGGUAUUGUGAUUAAGAGCUAAUACACAUUUUUCGGACGAUUCUCCUGUGCUGCGUUCCUGCUCCGCCUGUAUAUUGCUCCGCCCGUAUUUUAUAGUGUUGCGUUCCUGUUGCGCCUUUGCAUUAGUGUGUGCGUUGUGAUUUAGACACGUUGAAAUUUUUUGUAUGCUUCUGCUGUGCUGCGUUCCUGCUCCACCCGUGUAUUAGAUUGCUGCGUUCCUGUUAACAUACAUAUCGUCGCUUAAAGUACAAAACCGCGUAACUGACAUUUGCUGCUAAAAAUUGGAUUCGCUCACACACGUUUUUGGAUCAAUCCUUAUCCAUUCUUCCUGAAAUAUACUAGCCAAAAAUGCGAUUGCUUUUUACAAAAAGAUAACCAUUUUGAAAUAUGAGUGUUUUUACUCUCUAGAAAUUAAUUUAUGCAACCUCGCAUACGUGGGUUUGCAUUAUCUCUAUACGCGGUUUUGCAAUUUAUUGAUACAUGGUUUUGUACUUUAAACGACGAUAUGUA